rnacentral:snRNA from 1 species
AGUUUCUCAAGUGAGAAAC